rnacentral:rRNA from 1 species
CCUGGGGCUGUAGUCGGUCCCAAGGGUAUGGCUGUUCGCCAUUUAAAGUGGUACGUGAGCUGGGUUUAAAACGUCGUGAGACAGUUUGGUCCCUAUCUGCCGUGGGCGCUGGAAAUUUGAAGGGGGCUGCUCCUAGUACGAGAGGACCGGAGUGGACGAACCUCUGGUGUACCGGUUAUGACGCCAGUCGUAUCGCCGGGUAGCUAAGUUCGGAAGAGAUAAACGCUGAAAGCAUCUAAGCGUGAAACUCGCCUUAAGAUGAGAUUUCCCCGGGGACUUGAUCCCCCUGAAGGGUCGUGGUAGACCACGACGUUGAUAGGCUGGAUGUGGAAGCGCAGCAAUGCGUUAAGCUAACCAGUACUAAUCGCCCGUGUGGCUUGAUCCU